rnacentral:rRNA from 1 species
UACGGAGGGUGCGAGCGUUGUCCGGAAUCACUGGGCGUAAAGGGCGCGUAGGUGGCGCGGCAAGUCAACGGUGAAAGCUCGACGCUCAACGUCGAGUCGGCCGUCGAUACUGCCGCGCUGGAGCACUAUAGAGGCUCAUGGAAUUCCGGGUGUAGCGGUGGAAUGCGUAGAGAUCCGGAAGAACACCGGUGGCGAAGGCGGUGAGCUGGGCAGUAGCUGACACUGAGGCGCGACAGCGUGGGGAGCAAACAGG